CCCUAUUUGGCAGCUGUACUGUCCUAUACGAUGACUAUGAAUCGUGAUUGACUCCAGGACACACAAACACAACAACCACACGCCUCUACCCGUUGAACACCCUUGCAGGCAGCGCCAUUUUCUGCGCAACGGAAGAAGCUCACUGUGAGCGAAGAUCCCACAAGAGAUUGUUUCACAGCUUUACUUCUAACUGAAGACAACACAAUAUCCAGUAAUACGAAAACUGUUAACUACGGUCCCAGGAGUGGCACAGGGAGAGCUAGUCCAGUCUAGGCAGCAGGGGACUGAGGGCGGCCAUCUUGCACAUCCAUGCAAUCUCAAGUAAGGAUUUUAACUGCCCUGACUGGCUGUGUGGACCAAACAUCAUUCAUCUGCCUCCAAACUGCCUAAUGGCCCUGCUUCCACUGCCAUCCUUCUUCCUGAAGUGGCUUCUUGGGCUAAGACAGCACAUUCACAUAGACUUCCAGAAGCUGGAGCCAGGAUAUGUGGAAACAUUGAUAAUAACACGCACUGAAGAAUCCAAGGAAUGAAACACAUCAUGAAGUAGUGAAGAUCAGCAGAAAUAUCCAAAUAAAAUUGUACAGCAGAUGAAAUGUGUGAUGGGAUAGCCACCCAAUGAGAAAAAUAAAGGUAUUUUAAAAGUUUCCUUUUGUUUUUUAUUGCCUUAUUCAAUGCUAUAUCUUUUUAUAAAUUUUAAUAAUACGUUUCAUUUAACAAUAAAAUCUGGGGUAGUAUUAAUUCAACAUGUAAUCAGUCUAAAAAUUAUUAAUGAGAUAGUUAACCUUUUUUGGUGCUAAGUUUGGAAAUCCAAUGUGUACUGUAUACUUACACUACAUCUCAAUUCAGACUAGGCACGUUUCAAGUGCUCGGUAGCCACCUAUGGCUUGCUGUUGUGAGCUGCCGCCGAUACAUAGGUGUACCCCAUGCACAAUGAGAUCGGAGCUUUGUGAUCCACAGGGUAUAUAUGUGAUCUACGGAUCACAAAAGUCUGAUCCUAUUGUGCAUGGGAUCUAUAUAUAUAUGCAAUAUGCAUACACAUACAUACAUAUGCAUUUUAUUGUAAGUAUAUACAUAACAACAUUUUUCAAUUCAACAUUUUUCAGGUGUACAACUUAAGGAUAUCAAUUAUAUUCGGGAAAGGGAGAGCCAUUG